GUCUACGGAGUGAGUUCCAGGACAGCCAGGGCUACACACCGAAACCAGUCUCAAGCAAGAAAACAAACAAACCCUUUGAUUAUUUUAAUCACCACUAAGCUAAAACCUCUGUUCAAUCUCUGGAAUCUCACACAGCUCAUAAUCUCUGUCCUUUCUCAGGUGUUAGGCCCUGGACUAGCUGCUGCAAAGGUGGUGGUACAAGGCCUUCCAGAAUGAUCCAGACAUUGUUCCCGUCAUAGAUGCUUCUACUCCCACGCCCUUCAUAGACGGGAUUUGAAGACCCUCAUUCCUCUGAGGUUCUGACACAUGCUUCUCUCUCACCCUCUUGGCAGACAAAUGGACACGCAUGCUCAUCAACAACACAUACCCAGGCCCUCAGGACUCCCUAGGGCACAGCCGCUCAGAGUGAGGUCUGUGGGUCGGGUCUGGCCUAGCUGCUGUUUGACAGAGAAGGCAGAAACAAAAUAACCUUGAAAAACCAUGGUAGUGUUUGACAUUGAAGCACGUGACUGUUUUUGCUGUGUUCCACAAAAACAUGAUGUGCAGCCAUUCGGAAACUUAAAAAAGCAAGCCCCUUUCUCACAAAGAGUUUGAAAAUCACUGUUGUGGCGCUCUCUCUCUCUCUCUCUCUCUCUCUCUCUCUCUCUCUGUGUGUGUGUGUGUGUGUGUGUGUGUGUGUGUGUGUGUGUGUGUGUGUGUGCUGUCC
rnacentral:lncRNA from 1 species